UGAGCAGCAGCGGAAAGCUCUGGAAGCC
rnacentral:piRNA from 1 species